UAUAUACAACCUCCGUCUCAAAAUACUUAUCUUAGAUUUGUCUAGAUACGGAUGUGUCUAACACUAAAACAUGUCUAGAUACAUAUGUAUCUAGACAAACUUAAGACAAGUAUCUUGGGACGGAGGGAGUAUAUA
rfam:Hordeum vulgare subsp. vulgare, WGS project CAJW01000000 data, contig: morex_contig_368561